UACUCCUUUGACUCUCUUUUUUUUUUCCAAAGUCAUUAUGACCUUUCUUGGUUCUUUGCCUUUCCACUUGGAGUUUAGAAUCCACUUUUCAGUUUAUACAGCACAAAAAAUUCUACUAUGAGUUUGACAGGGAUUGCAUUUAGUCUUCAAUUUAAUUUUAUUUUUAUUUUUUGGUCGCUCUGCACAGCUUGCAGGAUCUUAGUUCCCCAACCAGGGAUUGAACCCGGGCCACAGCAGUGAUAGCGCUGAGUUCUAACCAAUGGACCACCAGGGAAGUCCCCUAAUCUUCAAUGUAGAAAGAAACACUGAGUGUCCCAAUCCAUAAACAUGAACAUUUCCUUUUAUUUAUAUCUUAUUUAAUUUUUCAGAGCAGUGUUUUAAGAUUUCUGCUUAUAGGUCUUACAUAUGUAUUUUCUAUAUCUGAUAAUAUUGUGAAUGAGAAUUGAAAAAUUGUUUUUAUUUGUGAGUUGCUUAGUGCUAGUACACUAAGAGAGAAACCAUGGAUAGAAGCGAGCCUUCUUAAUCUUAUAAAUAACAUCUACAAAGAGCUAUUAGAAAUACUAUUCUUUUGAACCAUUACUAACAUAUUCCCAUUAGAAUAAAAGGACGACAGCUGCUCAUUGUUCUCUUAUUCAGUAUCUGGAGUUCCACUUUCAUUCAGUAAGGCAAAGUAAUGAAUAUGUAGCAACUGGAAAGGAAUAAAUAAACCACCUAAAAUAUGUCCUCAGUUUUCAUCUUUACUGAGUCCAAAUGUAGUCCCUCAACCCAUCAUAAACUCUUAAUUUUUUCAUCACCUGUUUGCUGUCCUUACUUCCUUAGGACCCCGUCACCUAUUGCAUGAUGCAACUUAAUGUCAUAGAUGAACUGCUUAUUAUAUUUUUCUGUCAAACACAGAGUAAGUUCCAGUAGGGAAAUAUGUAUUUACUGUUGUGCACUGAUAUAUUCUGUAUUUCUAGAAACAUGUCUGAAACACGUAUGGUACUUUUCUUCCCCCUUUUUUUUGGCCUCACUGCGCAGCAUGUGGAAUCUUAGUUUCCAGACCAGGGAUCAAACCUACGCCCCCUGAAGUGGAAGCACGGAGUCUUAACCACUGGAACGCUGGUGAAAUCUCCCAUGUGGUACAUACUGACAUCAUAAAGUACGGAACAAAAUGACAACACACACUUAACGUUCAUUUGCACAACCGUGGCUAUACUUUCUAACUCUCCUCAUCCUGCCUUUUCCUUUAGUUUUAUUAUCAUCAGUGCUCAGAGUUCUGGGAAGAAAAUAUGUUUUCUGAGAGGCCUUUAAAUCUACUAAAAAUCCCCAAUAGGCAAAUUAGUGGUUUCCUUCUCUCACUUAUGAGAUAUCAGAUUUUUUUUUUCCUCCUCACAUUCCAGUAGGAUUUUGAUUAUUUCAAAAACCAGUUUUCUGCUAUCAAUUUCUGCCACUCCUCAUGGAUAUCUAUUUCAUUAAGCACUUUUAAUAGCUCUUGGUAGUUACACAGUCCCAAAUGUUUUUCAGUUUCUCUCCUCUCCCUAUGCAGAUACUGUCAGUGCACUUACAGUUGACAUGGUAAUCACGUCCAUGGAGCAGAUGACAUCGUGGGGUUCUAAGCCUUUAUCUCAGGCUUAUGUGUCCCCAUUGCAGACUCACAGAUGCUGCCAUGGCAGUCCUUGUUCUGGGAACAAAUACACAUUUGGUUGUCUUAUAGGUCUGCUGUAACAAAACACCACAAACUGGGUGAUUUAUGAAGAAGAGAUAUUCACUUAUCACAUCCUGGUGGCUGGAAGUUCUCAGAUGCCAUAAGGAUGCCUCAUAUUGGAUGCAUCAGGAAUACACCAAAAGACUCAAUACUUCCCACAGAGAACCAGCUGAACACCAGCAAAUGACCUCAGACACCAGAAAGGACUGCAAAGAUCCCGACAUAACUGGGUAGGACAGAGGGACAAAAAAAAAAAGGAGGAAGAAGAGGAGAAGAAAGGAUAGGGACGGGUCCCACACCCUUGGAUGGGGGGAUCUGAAACAGAGGGGAGAUUACUGAAUUUGGGGAAAUGUCCCUUAUCUGAUGGGGAAACCCCUUCUCCAAUGGGGAAUUUCCCUGGGUCAGAAGGGAGGCAUUUAGGACUGUUCAAAGAGGGUAAAGUGGCUGAGCUGUGGCAGAUGGGAAAGAGGGAGAAAAACACAGAUGGUCUGCACCACGGCUCAGCGUGCCUGGACUGAGACAUCGAUUCACAGCUGAACAGGGGGUCUGGGAGCUGGAACGUGGGAACCGGAGAACUGGAGAACCAGUUCAGGGUGAGAAACAUUGUUGGCAGUGGGGAGACAGACUGAGAGGAUAGGAGGGAAGAAAUCUGGAGGUGAGAGUGCCUACCACGGAAAGCUGUGCAGCCAUAGGGGCGGCUGGAUACCGCUGACUCACAAGCAGAGGGGAGGAGCCGUGGGUGUAGCCUCUCUCUCAGCACCUGCGACGGACAAAGGAAUGACCCUUGUGGGCCUAGCUAACUCACUCAGGGAUAACAAAGGUCCCCGGGUGGGGCUGGC